AUUGAACGCUGGCGGCAGGCCUAACACAUGCAAGUCGAGCGGAUGAAGGGAGCUUGCUCCUGGAUUCAGCUGCGGACGGGUGAGUAAUGCCUAGGAAUCUGCCUGGUAGUGGGGGAUAACGUCCGGAAACGGGCGCUAAUACCGCAUACGUCCUGAGGGAGAAAGUGGGGGAUCUUCGGACCUCACGCUAUCAGAUGAGCCUAGGUCGGAGUAGCUAGUUGGUGGGGUAAAGGCCUACCAAGGCGACGAGCCGGAACUGGUCUGAGAGGAUGAUCAGUCACAAGGGAACGGAGACACGGUCAAGACUCCUACGGGAGGCAGCAGGGGGGAAUAUUGGAGAAAGGGGGAAAGCCUGACCCAGCCAUGCGGCGUGAGGGAAGAAGGUCUUCGGAUUGUAAAACACUUUAAGUGGGGAGGAAGGGCAGUAAUUUAAACCCUUGUUUUUUUGACGUUAACAAAAAAAAAAGCCCCGGCAAACUCCGUG
rnacentral:rRNA from 1 species